AGCACACUGAAGAAGUACCACUCCAAGUCUCUGCUCUUCAGCUUCGACUGACUUGGGAGAUCCCACGGCUCGGAUUUGUACACGUGGGUGACGGAGAUCGCGUCGAACUUAAAGGGUUUGUUGCAGAUCUUGCGUUUUAGGUAGUAACGGACGAGUUCUUCGUCCGUUGGGUGGAAUCGGAAACCAGCGUUUUAGGUAGUAACGGACGAGUUCUUCGUCCGUUGGGUGGAACCGGAACCCUGGAGCGAGCGACGACGUCUCUGAGGAGCCACCACGACGACCCAUUCGAACAGAUACAAGGUUUGGACGAGUUUUGGAAAUCGUGUCGGAGAAGAAAGAGAGAGGAUGUGAUUGGGAUUGGAGAGAAUGAGGGAAAAAGCGAAGCGGAGAAGACUUGAGAUGAGGACCAAACACAACUACUUCCGCGAGGUUUUAAAAU
rnacentral:lncRNA from 1 species